GAUAAACGCUGGCGACGUGCAUGAGACAUGCAAGUCGAACGAACGAGCUUGCUCGUUAGUGGCGGACGGCUGAGUAACGCGUAGGUGACCUGCCCCGAAGUGGGGGAUAACUGCCCGAAAGGGUGGCUAAUACCGCAUGUGGCGACGUCUUCACUGACGUCAUCAAAGCCGCGAGGCGCUUCGGGAGGGGCCUGCGUCCGAUUAGCUCGUUGGUGGGGUAAUGGCUCACCAAGGCGACGAUCGGUAGGUGGUCUGAGAGGACGAUCACCCAGACUGGGACUGAGACACGGCCCAGGCUCCUACGGGAGGCAGCAGUCGGGAAUUUUGCUCAAUGGGCGCAAGCCUGAAGCAGCAACGCCGCGUGAGGGAUGAAGGCCUUCGGGUUGUAAACCUCUUUUAUCAGGGACGAUGAUGACAGUACCUGAUGAAUAAGUCACGGCUAACUACGUGCCAGCCGCCGCCGUAAAAC
rnacentral:rRNA from 1 species